UACGAAGGGGGCUAGCGUUGCUCGGAAUUACUGGGCGUAAAGCGCACGUAGGCGGAUUGUUAAGUCAGGGGUGAAAUCCUGGAGCUCAACUCCAGAACUGCCUUUGAUACUGGUGAGCUUGAGUCCGGAAGAGGUGAGUGGAACUGCGAGUGUAGAGGUGAAAAUUCGUAGAUAUUCGCAAAGAACACCAGUGGCGAAGGCGGCUCACUGGUCCGGUACUGACGCUGAGGUGCGAAAGCGUGGGGAGCAAAGCAG
rnacentral:rRNA from 1 species